AGCGGUUUGGAGAAGUAGUAUCUCGCCAGUCUCAUAAGCUGGAGGCCUUGGUGCAAUUCCAAGAACCGCAA
rnacentral:tRNA from 1 species